rnacentral:lncRNA from 1 species
AUUAAAUCGAAGGCAGCCGGCACAGCAAGGUCGUACACGGCAGGAAGGAGAAGGUGAAUUUCUGCUGUCAGCUGGGAAUGGAGCAGGAGGAAAAACAACGGAGUGACCCAGUUAAUGGGUGUCAAUCAGGGGGUGGUGGAGCUGGGAGUGGAAGCGCUCCGCAGCUCUGCUGAUGUUUGUUGCACAGCACAGAGCUGUCUCGUCCCACACAGCUCCUGGAGGUCCGGGCACGUGCUCCAGAUGGGAUUUGACAGCAACAGCUAAGAAGCAUCUCAGCCUGCAAAAAAUUCUCCCUGGGAUGGUACUUCUCCCUCCAGCAGCCAGGAAGGGAAAUGGAACAGCUCGGUGAUGCUCAAGAGUGUUCAGCAAAGGCAGAGAAUGGACAGGACCUCUUAUCUCCAUCCUCCCAGGAAGGUGCCAGAACCCACGGUGCCCUCCUGCCUAUUUCAUCUCACUGCCUGCAACCUGCCCACCCACUUAUUCACUCCAAG